GAUUUCUGGGAUUUCGGCCUUGGUCCGCCGGUUUACGCCGGUUGUGUUUGCCGAGGUUGGGUCUCAUCCUCCCGGAGUGCCUAGCCUGCCCUUUACUGGGUUGGGCUAGUGUGUUCUGGGACUUUUACUUUGAAAAAAUUAGAGUGUUUAAAGCAGGCUUGCGCUAUGAAUACAUUAGCAUGGAAUAAUAAUUUAGGACUUUGGUCUUAUUUUGUUGGUUUCUAGGACUAAAGUAAUGAUUGAUAGGGACAGUUGGGGGUGCUAGUAUUCAGCGGCCAGAGGUGAAAUUCUUGGAUUCGCUGAAGACUAACUUAUGCGAAAGCAUU
rnacentral:rRNA from 1 species